rnacentral:rRNA from 1 species
CUGCCGUAUACUGGGGGAUAACACUUAGAAAUAGGUGCUAAUACCGCAUAAGCGCACAGCUUCGCAUGAAGUGGUGUGAAAAACUCUGGUGGUAUACGAUGGUUCCGCGUCUGAUUAGCUUGUUGGCGGGGUAAUGGCUCACCAAGGCGACGAUCAGUAGCCGGCCUGAGAGGGUGAACGGCCACAUUGGGACUGAGACACGGCCCAAACUCCUACGGGAGGCAGCAGUGGGGAAUAUUGCACAAUGGGGGAAACCCUGAUGCAGCGACGCCGCGUGAGUGAAGAAGUAUUUCGGUAUGUAAAGCUCUAUCAGCAGGGAGGAAAUAGCGACCUUUGGGUCGCCAGACGGUACCUGAUUAAGAAGCCCCGGCUAACUACGUGCCAGCAGCCGCGGUAAUACGUAGGGGGCAAGCGUUAUCCGGAUUUACUGGGUGUAAAGGGAGCGUAGACGGCAGCACAAGUCUGAAGUGAAAUGCCGGGGCUUAACCCCGGAACUGCUUUGGAAACUGUGCAGCUAGAGUGCAGGAGAGGUAAGUGGAAUUCCUAGUGUAGCGGUGAAAUGCGUAGAUAUUAGGAGGAACACCAGUGGCGAAGGCGGCUUGCUGGACUGUAACUGACGUUGAGGCUCGAAAGCGUGGGGAGCAAACAGGAUUAGAUACCCUGGUAGUCCACGCUGUAAACGAUGA